AUUAAUAAGCGGAGGAAAAGAAACCAACCGGGAUUCCCUGAGUAAGGGCGACUGAAAUGGGAGGAGCCCAGCGCAUAACCUCGCGGUCCCUGGCCGGCCGACGAGGGGUGUUGCGUUUCGGUGGACCCGCCCCGCUCGGGCCGUUUACCGCCUAAGUCAUUGCUUGAAAGCAGCCCCGCGGAGGGUGAUAGGCCCGUGUGGCGGCGCCUGUAAAAAGGGUAAAGGCGGCUCGGGCGGAGGGGUCUUCACCGUAGAGUCGGGUUGCUUAGUACUGCAGCCCUAAGCAGGUGGUAAACUCCAUCUAAGGCUAAAUACUACCACGAGUCCGAUAGAGAACAAGUACCGUGAGGGAAAGUU
rnacentral:rRNA from 4 species